AAUAAUGUGCCUGACGAAAAGGGCUAUUUUGAUAGAAUAGAUAAUGUAAUUCUACCAUUAUUU
rnacentral:tRNA from 1 species